GACGAACGCUGGCGGCAGGCUUAACACAUGCAAGUCGAGCGAGCGGCGGACGGGUGAGUAAUGUCUGGGAAACUGCCUGAUGGAGGGGGCUAACUACUGGAAACGGUAGAUAAUACCGCAUACCAUCAGAUGUGCCCAGAUGGGAUUAGCUAGUAGGUGGGUUAAUGGCUCACCUAGGCGACGAUCCCUCGCUGGUCUGAGGUGAUGACCAGCCACACUGGAACUGAGACACGGCCCAGACGCCUACGGGAGGCAGCAGUGGGGAAUAUUGCACAAUGGGCGCAAGCCUGAUGCAGCCAUGCCGCGUGUGUGAAGAAGGCCUUCGGGUUGUAAAGCACUGUCAGCGAGGAGGCGUUACUCGCAGAAGAAGCACCGGCUAACUCCGUGCCAGCCGCCGCGGUAAUAC
rnacentral:rRNA from 1 species